rnacentral:rRNA from 1 species
AACGUAGGAGACAAACGUUAUCCGGAGUUACUGGGCGUAAAGGGCUCGUAGGCGGCCAACUAAGUCAGACGUGAAAUCCCUCGGCUUAACCGGGGAACUGCGUCUGAUACUGGAUGGCUUGAAUCCGGGAGAGGGAUGCGGAAUUCCAGGUGUAGCGGUGAAAUGCGUAGAUAUCUGGAGGAACACCGGUGGCGAAGGCGGCAUCCUGGACCGGCAUUGACGCUGAGGAGCGAAAGCCAGGGGAGCAAACGGG